UACGUAGGGUGCGAGCGUUUAAUCGGAAUUACUGGGCGUAAAGCGUGCGCAGGCGGUUUUGUAAGACAGAUGUGAAAUCCCCGGGCUCAACCUGGGAACUGCGUUUGUGACUGCAAGACUUUGAGUAUGGCAGAGGGGGGGUAGAAUUCCACGUGUAGCAGUGAAAUGCGUAGAGAUGUGGAGGAAUACCGAUGGCGAAGGCAGCCCCCCUGGGUCAAUACUGACGCUCAUGCACGAAAGCGUGGGGAGCAA
rnacentral:rRNA from 1 species